rnacentral:rRNA from 1 species
AGGAUGAACGCUGGCGGCGUGCCUAACACAUGCAAGUCGAACGUCCUGUCUCGCAAGAGGCAGGGAGUGGCGGACGGGUGAGUACCACGUGGGUCAUCUACCGUGAGGUGAGGAAUACCGGCGAGAAAUCGCCGACAAGACCGCAUAGGCUCGAUGCAAGUCGAGCAAAGCUCUUUCGAGAGAGGGAGCGCCACACGAGGAGCCUGCGCCCGAUUAGCUAGCUGGUGGAGUAACGGUUCACCAGGGCGACGAUCGGUAGCUGGUCUGAGAGGACGAUCAGCCACACUGGGAUUGAGAACGGCCCAGACUCCUACGGGGGGCAGCAGUGAGGAAUUUUCGUCAAUGGGGGCAACCCUGAACGAGCAACGCCGCGUGCAGGAAGAAGGUUUUCGGAUCGUAAACUGCUUUUCUCGGGGAAGAGAACGGACGGUACCCGAGGAAUCGAGCCCCGGCUAACUACGUGCCAGCAGCCGCGGU